rnacentral:rRNA from 1 species
GAUUAACGCUAGCGGCAGGCCUAAUACAUGCAAGUCGAGGGAGAUUGUGGUAGCAAUACUACAUGAGACCGGCGUACGGGUGCGUAACACGUAUGCAACCUACCUGUAACUGGGGCAUAGCCCCGAGAAAUCGGGAUUAAUACCCCAUAAGAUCAUAGAAGGGCAUCCUUCAGUGAUCAAAGCUCCGGCGGUUUUAGAUGGGCAUGCGCGACAUUAGCUAGUUGGUGAGCUAACGGCUCACCAAGGCUACGAUGUCUAUGGGUUCUGAGAGGAUUUUCCCCCACACUGGUACUGAGACACGGACCAGACUCCUACGGGAGGCAGCAGUAAGGAAUAUUGGGCAAUGGGCGCAAGCCUGACCCAGCCAUGCCGCGUGCAGGAUUGACGGCCCUAUGGGUUGUAAACUGCUUUUGUACGGGAAAAAACCCCCGGUCGUGAACCGGGGCUGAUGUUACCGUAAGAAUAAGCAUCGGCUAACUCCGUGCCAGCAGCCGCGGUAAGAC